UACGUAGGGUGCAAGCGUUGUCCGGAAUCAUUGGGCGUAAAGCGCGUGUAGGCGGCUCGGUAAGUCUGCUGUGAAAGUCCAGGGCUCAACCCUGGGAUGCCGGUGGAUACUGUCGAGCUCGAGUCCGGAAGAGGCGAGUGGAAUUCCUGGUGUAGCGGUGAAAUGCGCAGAUAUCAGGAGGAACACCAAUGGCGAAGGCGGCUCACUGGACCGGUUCUGACGCUGAGGCGCGAAAGCGUGGGGAGCAAACGGG
rnacentral:rRNA from 1 species